ACACCUUGCUACGCCACACCCACACGGGCACCCAGCAGUGAUAAAUAUUAAGCAAUGAGUGAAGCCAAUCUAAGCUCGACUUAGUUAUGAUCACCAGGGCCGGUAAACCUCGUGCCAGCCACCGCGGUUAUACGAGGGGCCCAAAACAGCAGAUACCGGCGUAAAUUGUGACUAGAGCACCUACUUGUGGAAAAUAAACAAAAGCCCGCCCGUAAAACCUGGGCCAAAAGAAGCACACCUUCCCAAUUAUAAAGUAACUUGAACCCACGAAGACUAAGAAACAAACUAGGAUUAGAUACCCUACUAUGCUUAGUUGUUAACACGACACCAAAAAACACUAGUGUCCGCCAGAGAAUUACACGCGAAAAGCUUAAAACUCAAAGGACUUGGCGGUGCUCCGUAUUCGUCUUAGAGGAGCCUGUCCUAUAAUCGAUAACCCACGCUUUACCUUACCAUCUUUUGUUAAAAUCAGCCUAUAUACCGCCGUCGCAAACUUACCCCAUGAGGGCACAACAGUAAGUAAAAUAGUAACACACUAACACGUCAGGUCAAGGUGUAGCUAAUAAGAUGGAAGAGAUGGGCUACAUUUUCUAAAACAGAACACACGGCAAAGGACAUUGAAAAAUGCCCUCAAAGGUGGAUUUAAUAGUAAGGUAGAAAAGAAAAUCUAUCUAAAACCCGCUC
rnacentral:rRNA from 1 species